rnacentral:tRNA from 1 species
UGACUCGUAGCUAAUGGGGAAGCAACCGACUGUUAAUCGGUGAAAUGCAAGUUCAAAUCCUGUCGAGUCAGCCA